AACGCGAAGAACCUUACCUACUCUUGACAUCCAGAGAACUUAGCAGAGAUGCUUUGGUGCCUUCGGGAACUCUGAGACAGGUGCUGCAUGGCUGUCGUCAGCUCGUGUUGUGAAAUGUUGGGUUAAGUCCCGCAACGAGCGCAACCCUUAUCCUUUGUUGCCAGCGGUCCGGCCGGGAACUCAAAGGAGACUGCCAGUGAUAAACUGGAGGAAGGUGGGGAUGACGUCAAGUCAUCAUGGCCCUUACGAGUAGGGCUACACACGUGCUACAAUGGCAUAUACAAAGAGAAGCGACCUCGCGAGAGCAAGCGGACCUCAUAAAGUAUGUCGUAGUCCGGAUUGGAGUCUGCAACUCGACUCCAUGAAGUCGGAAUCGCUAGUAAUCGUGGAUCAGAAUGCCACGGUGAAUACGUUCCCGGGUCUUGUACACACCG
rnacentral:rRNA from 2 species